UACGUAGGGUGCAAGCGUUGUCCGGAAUUAUUGGGCGUAAAGAGCUCGUAGGCGGUUUUGUCGCGUCUGCUGUGAAAACCUAGGGCUUAACCCUGGGCCUGCAGUGGGUACGGGCAGACUAGAGUGCGGUAGGGGAGACUGGAAUUCCUGGUGUAGCGGUGAAAUGCGCAGAUAUCAGGAGGAACACCGGUGGCGAAGGCGGGUCUCUGGGCCGUAACUGACGCUGAGGAGCGAAAGCAUGGGGGAGCGAACAGG
rnacentral:rRNA from 1 species